rnacentral:ncRNA from 1 species
UUAAACACGGGAGCUUGUAUUACAGGCUGAGAGGAAGGUGUGACCUUCGACCGAUAACCUGAUUUGGAUAAUGCCAACGUAGGGACGCUGAAAA